CCCUUGAUAGCUCAGUUGGAAGAGCGACAGACUGUAAAUCUGUAGGUCACCGGUUCGAACCCGGUUCGAGGGA
rnacentral:tRNA from 4 species